UACAGGGGGCGCGAGCGUUGCUCGGAAUCACUGGGCGUAAAGCGUACGCAGGCGGACCGUUAAGUCGGGUGUGAAAUCCCAGGGCUCAACCCUGGACGUGCAUUCGAUACUGGCGGUCUCGAGUACGGGAGAGGUGAGUGGAAUUCCUGGUGUAGAGGUGAAAUUCGUAGAUAUCAGGAGGAACACCGGUGGCGAAAGCGGCUCACUGGCCCGAUACUGACGCUCAUGAUACGGAAAGCGUGGGGAGCAAACAGG
rnacentral:rRNA from 1 species